CCUACGGGAGGCAGCAGUGGGGAAUCUUGCGCAAUGGGCGAAAGCCUGACGCAGCCAUGCCGCGUGUAUGAUGAAGGUCUUAGGAUUGUAAAAUACUUUCACCGGUGAAGAUAAUGACUGUAGCCGGAGAAGAAGCCCCGGCUAACUUCGUGCCAGCAGCCGCGGUAAUACGAAGGGGGCUAGCGUUGCUCGGAAUUACUGGGCGUAAAGGGAGCGUAGGCGGACAUUUAAGUCAGAGGUGAAAUCCCGGAGCUUAACUUCGGAACUGCCUUUGAUACUGGGUGUCUUGAGUGUGAGAGAGGUAUGUGGAACUCCGAGUGUAGAGGUGAAAUUCGUAGAUAUUCGGAAGAACACCAGUGGCGAAGGCGACAUACUGGCUCAUUACUGACGCUGAGGCUCGAAAGCGUGGGGAGCAAACAGGAUUAGAUACCCUGGUAGUCCACGCCGUAAACGAUGAUUGCUAGUUGUCGGGAAGCUUGCUUCUCGGUGACGCAGCUAACGCAUUAAGCAAUCCGCCUGGGGAGUACGGUCGCAAGNUUAAAACUUAAAGGAAUUGACGG
rnacentral:rRNA from 1 species